AGCCAUGAGCCAGGCAGAGAACACAGUGUCAUUCCUAGAACUUGAGCUCAGAGCUGGACCAAAGCAGCUGUCGAUCCUUUGCCUCUUUGCACUUUGGAGCCCAGUCCUGAUGGGACCAGGUGUCAGAGCCCUGCCAAAUCUGUGAGAAGGGUGGAAGCAAGUUUCCCUGAGGGAAAAAAAAACAACAAAAAAAAACCUUCUGGAAUUGGGAAAAAUUUAGGUCAACAUCAUUUGAACCUUGACCUCUUGCUCUUUUGUCCCCGGGUGGACAUUUCCUUGACCUCCAGAAAUUCCUCCACCUCAAGGGAAGACUUCUUGCCCCCCUCACUUCCAGAGGCCUCCAAAGUGGGCUGGGAAGAGAUUUAAAGCAGGACCCUGGGAAGCAUGAUGAGACUCUGGAGUGUAGAGAGGCUUCCCUGCAAUGCAAAGAUCUUCAAAGGCCAAGCCCAAGGCACUGCAACCCCCAGGAGGGCCCACUCCAAAGCAGAACAGUGGAGGGAGAGCCUGCGUGUCAAGAAGCCUGGACAGCAAGACCCCCUACUGUGGCAGCCAGCCUGCUUGUAGGAGUCCUGAGAAGCCUAAUUCAAUUACCCUUAUCAGAAUGUCUCUGAACUUAACAAAGCAGAUAAUGAGUUCCAGAGACAGAUACUGCUUGGGGGGCCAAAAUUAUUUUGCUUCCCCAAAUUGGAGGCUGAAAUUGGAGAUGUUUGAAUAAUGGAAAACAUAAUCCUUCCCUAGGCCCAACCCCCUCCCAGUACCCACACCUGAGACACCCUUUCAACCAAGGAGCCUGGAUUCAACAUCCAUGCCGUCUCUCCUCCUGAAGACACCUGGUCAUGAACUCGACCUCUUUCCCCCACCAUCUUUGUGCCAUCGAUGGAAGGAAGCUGCGUACAGGAUGGAAGUGGGAGGGGAAAGGGAUUAACAUUUAUGGAGCCCUCCCCUCUAUGUGUCAGCUACAUAACACAUAGCAUUCAUUUCAACCACAGAACAUAUGUCUUUACAUUACAGAAGGCAACGGAGAACUGGAAAAGUUAACUUACUGCCUGAGGACCCAUCCCCAUCUCACCAGCAGCACAGUCAGAUUCAGACACAGGUAUUCAACUUUGCAACACACUGUGCCUCACGGCCUGUGUGCUCAACAUCAGAAAUCAAAUAGAAACUCCCUCAUUCUAAGAUUCAUAGCCAUCCUCCGAGAUAUGACAUAGCGACCUCUCCUCCGUGAACAGGGAAACAGACUGAGAGGAUAACCUAACUCUCCCAAGGCCAGAGUAUCCACUGGGAUAUGCAGCCAAGUCAGCCAGCAGUUGAAACAAGGGCUCUCUGUGCUAUCUCACAUCUGAAUUGAAUUGUUUCCUACAGACUUCUCAUAGCUCUCUAGGCAAGGAAUACAUCUUCUCACCUUCCCACACUAAGAAAGGCCUCUGUCUGAGCCUGGGUGCCGGGUGGCCAGGAUUCCUGCUGAACGUUCAGGAGCUUUCCAUCUCCAGAGGUCACCUGCUGCUCCAAGGAGGAUGAGAGACCUAUGGGGAAGACCUGGACCCAAUCUGAAGUUAGAACUAAGUGCAACUGAGCCCAGCCUGGAUUAACCAACUCCCAGCCAAUCCACAGACACCUGGGUAAGAAUACAUGAAUGUUGU
rnacentral:lncRNA from 1 species